rnacentral:tRNA from 2 species
GGCGGCGUAGCUCAGGUGGUUAGAGCACACGGCUCAUAAUCGUGGGGUCGUCGGUUCGAGUCCGACCGCCGCUA